rnacentral:rRNA from 1 species
GCUAAAUAGCUAGCCUAACCACCAACACCAAACCACACAACCAUAAAUACCCAACCACACACUAACAGAAACCACUAAACCAUUCUCCCCCCUUAGUAUGGGCGACAGAAAAGGAAAAACCAGAGCAAUAGAAAAAGUACCGCAAGGGAAAGCUGAAAGAGAAGUGAAACAACCCGUAAAAGCAAAGAAAAGCAGAGAUUAAGUCUCGUACCUUUUGCAUCAUGACUUAGCUAGCACCAACCAGGCAAAGAGAACUUUAGUCUGGCCCCCCGAAACUAGACGAGCUACUCCGGGACAGCCCAUAUGGGGCCAACCCGUCUCUGUGGCAAAAGAGUGGGAAGAUCCCCGAGUAGAGGUGAAAAAUCUAACGAGUCUAGUCAUAGCUGGUUGCUUAGGAAAUGAAUAUUAGUUCAGCCCCACGACCUGCUUAAAUCAAAAAAGUUAAUUCUACCAAAGAAUUAGAGACAGUCCUGGGAGUUAGUCAGAGGAGGUACAGCUCCCCUGAAAAAGAACACAACCUUCACAGGAGGAUAAGGAUCAUAAUCAAAAAGGCACCCUGCUCCAGUGGGCCUAAAAGCAGCCACCUGAACAGAAAGCGUCAAAGCUCAGGCAGGACCACAUUAACCUAUUAUUCUGAUACCCGGUCCAACUCCCCUAAGAAUACUAAGCCAUUCUAUGCACCCAUAGAAGAGACAAUGCUAAGAUCAGUAAUAAGAAGGCACAACCUUCUCCUAGCACAUGUGUAAGUCAGAUCGGACCAACCACUGACAAACAACGGACCCAAUACAAGAGGGAAAUGAAACAAAAACCAAACCCAAGAAGAAGCUACAACACAAUACCGUUAGCCCUACACAGGAGUGCCCCAAGGAAAGACUAAAAGAGACGGAAGGAACUCGGCAAACUCGAGCCUCGCCUGUUUACCAAAAACAUCGCCUCUUGCAAAACACAAAAUAUAAGAGGUCCCGCCUGCCCCGUGACCCAAAAAGUUUAACGGCCGCGGUAUUUUGACCGUGCGAAGGUAGCGUAAUCACUUGUCUUUUAAAUGAAGACCGGUAUGAAUGGCAACACGAGGGCUCAGCUGUCUCCCGCCUCCAGUCAAUGAAAUUGAUCUGCCCGUGCAGAAGCGGACAUAUAACCAUAAGACGAGAAGACCCUGUGGAGCUUAAGACGUAUGGCCACCCAUGCCGAGCAGCCCCACAACAAAAAAGCGAACAAGCCUAAUGGUACCUGGCCACGAUGUCUUCGGUUGGGGCGACCGCGGAGGAAAACCUAGCCUCCAUGUGGACCGGGGGGACUAUUACUACCCCUAAAGCCAAGAGACACACCUCUAAGCAACAGAACAUCUGACCAAAAAUGAUCCGGGCCAAAGCCCGAUCAACGAACCAAGUUACCCCAGGGAUAACAGCGCAAUCCUUUCCAAGAGUCCCUUAUCGACGAAAGGGUUUACGACCUCGAUGUUGGAUCAGGACAUCCUAAUGGUGCAGCCGCUAUUAAGGGUUCGUUUGUUCAACGAUUAAAGUCCUACGUGAUCUGAGUUCAGACCGGAGCAAUCCAGGUCGGUUUCUAUCUAUGCAGUAACCCUUCCUAGUACGAAAGGACCGGGAGGGAGGGGCCCAUGCCCACAAACAAGCCCCACCCCCAUCCAAUGAAAACAACUAAAAAGGAAAAGGGGGUACAACGAACACAGCCAAAGACAAUGGCGC